AGUCUGUAUGACCCCUUGGGUUUUGCUGCUCCCGUUGUCAUGCAAGGCAAAGCAGUACUCCGAGAACUGUCAUUUGAAGAGACAGACUGGGAUGCACCUCUUCUCCAGAAAAAGAGGAGAUAUGGGUCUCAUGGAAAGACUCAUUAAAAGCUCUUGAGGAUCUACAAAUCAAAAGGUGCUACAGUCUCGGAUCGCUAAGUGCCUUGGAAAGAAAUGAGCUGUGUAUUUUCUCUGAUGCAACUACUGUAGCUAUAGAGUCAUUCUUUAGACAGUCGAGGUCAGUACCAUGUAGGUUUUGUGAUGGGAAAGUCCAAACUUGCACCCCAUCUGUCAUGGUCCUGCCGGUCCCAGCCCUGGCUGUGCAAGUCCCCUACACACCUGCGUUGAUUAGGAGGCCCAUACCUGCAUCUCAUCGGCGAUAAUGAACCCCAGUACUUAUAGGACCCAGCGGGCUUCUCCUCUGGACAGUUGUAUGAAAAACAAUGUAAACAAAAGCUAGCAGACACGUUUUGGAAAAGGUGGAAAGGUAAAUAUUUGUAUACUCUGCAGAAACGCACAAAAUGGACUGAAAACCGGACCAAUGUCAAAGAAGAAGAUGUUGUCCUGUUUAAGGAUGUUCAGGCACACAGGAAUGAAUGGCUGAUGGGACUGAUAGAGAAAACUUUACCCAGCAGUGACAAGAAAGUCCGCAAAGUGGAAGUGCGGAUUGUUAAAGAAGAAGAGACUACGAAGUUCAGGGUGUACCCCGCCUCCUGCCCGAUGACAGCAUGGAUUGGCUCCAGCCCUCACAUGAACCUCGUGAGGAUAAGUGGCUCAGAAAAUGGAUGGACGGAUAAAAAGGCAUCGGGAUCUCAACCCGAAAAGAGAACUAGACCUCAACCGUUGGUAAGAGAACUAAAUAUCGCAGCCACAACGAUGCAGCAGUAAACUGGCGCAUACAGGAG